rnacentral:lncRNA from 1 species
AUGGAGACUUUUACCCGUAAUUACAUGAAAACCUCUUCACUGCAGCUCAACAUACCAAGCGGGUUAGUGUCUUCCCUACAUGACAUGCACUUCAGAGAGAAAGGCCUGCUCUCUCUCUCUGCCGCUCCCUCCCUUUCUCUCAUGCUGCAGGCCUGGAGCCCACUGCUUUAUCACGGCACUGCAGGAGGGUCCACUGAAUGCAGCCAGUGUCUGACCAGAGCUCCCACAUGAGGGCUGGGCCUCGUUGGCUAAGGGGGACGGGCUGCCUUCCUACAGGAUAAGUAGACAGAGAGAGAGAGAAUGAGGAGUGGCAGAGAGGGAACCUCCUUUGUCGAUUUAUAGGUCUUCCAUGCACACAUACACACACACACACACACAUAGAUAGACACACACAGACAGCAGGGGCCUCUCAGACAAAGUCAGGAUGUGACAUCACUCACAGGAAGAGAAGCCAAACAACUUUUUGACUUGUACUUUUUUGUCUGCGCUG